UCGCGUCGAUAUGUUUAUCAAAUAAAUACAUCAAACCUUUCGUUACAAUAACGACACAACUUUGUACACCCAGCACUUGAAACAAACCAAAAAGCAUAUGCUUGAGUGUCCAAAUUGGAAUACAAACUGUAUGUUAGCGUUUAGCAAGAUAAUUUCACUUACCAAGCAAUAAAAUGAAAAAUAAAGCAGCCGAAAUACUGCAUGUGGAACAGAUGAGUGCCUUAUUUAAGUUUAGUCUACCAUCCUUG
rnacentral:lncRNA from 1 species